AACGAACGCUGGCGGCAGGCCUAACACAUGCAAGUCGAACGAGAUCUUCGGGUCUAGUGGCGCACGGGUGCGUAACGCGAGGGAAUCUGCCCUUUGGUUCGGAAUAACAGUUGGAAACGACUACCGAUACCGGAUGAUGACGAAAGUCCAAAGAUUUAUCGCCAGAGGAUGAGCCGGCGUAGGAUUAGCUAGUUGGUGUGGUAAAGGCGAACCAAGGCGACGGUCCUUAGCUGGUCUGAGAGGAUGAUCAGCCACACUGGGACUGGGACACGGCCCAGACUCCUACGGGAGGCAGCAGUGGGGAAUAUUGGACAAUGGGCGAAAGCCUGAUCCAGCAAUGCCGCGUGAGUGAUGAAGGCCUUAGGGUUGUAAAGCUCUUUUACCCGGGAUGAUAAUGACAGUACCGGGAGAAUAAGCUCCGGCUAACUCCGUGCCAGCAGCCGCCGCAG
rnacentral:rRNA from 1 species